AUACCUAUCUGGCAGAGAGGCAUUCUGAUCAUGAAGGUGGUUUUUGAGAGUGAGCCUCAUCACUAGCCUUCAAGUAGGCUGACUCCUGCAGUUUCCCAAGAUCCAAGGAACUUGACUGUAAAAUUUGCGAUGUGGGAGACUGUUUUUGUUCUUUUUCCUG
rnacentral:snRNA from 1 species